CUACCUUACCUAGGUGUAGUGGUGAAUGUCUGUCUGUAGUCUACCUUACCUAGGUGUAGUGGUGAAUGUCUGUCUGUAGUCUACCUUACCUAGGUGUAGUGGUGAAUGUCUGUAGUCUACCUUACCUAGGUGUAGUGGUGAAUGUCUGUAGUCUACCUUACCUAGGUGUAGUGGUGAAUGUCUGUAGUCUACCUUACCUAGGUGUAGAGGUGAAUGUCUGUAGUCUACCUUACCUAGGUGUAGUGAUGAAUGUCUGUAGUCUACCUUACCUAGGUGUAGUGGUGAAUGUCUGUCUGUAGUCUACCUUACCUAGGUGUAGUGAUGAAUGUCUGUAGUCUACCUUACCUAGGUGUAGUGGUGAAUGUCUGUCUGUAGUCUACCUUACCUAGGUGUAGUGGUGAAUGUCUGUAGUCUACCUUACCUAGGUGUAGUGGUGAAUGUCUGUAGUCUACCUUACCUAGGUGUAGUGGUGAAUGUCUGUAGUCUACCUUACCUAGGUGUAGAGGUGAAUGUCUGUCUGUAGUCUACCUUACCUAGGUGUAGUGGUGAAUGUCUGUCUGUAGUCUACCUUACCUAGGUGUAGUGGUAAAUGUCUAUCUGUAGUCUACCUUACCUCGGUGUAGUGGUGAAUGUCUGUCUGUAGUCUACCUUACCUAGGUGUAGUGGUGAAUGUCUGUAGUCUACCUUACCUAGGUGUAGUGGUGAAUGUCUGUAGUCUACCUUACCUAGGUGUAGUGGUGAAUGUCUGUAGUCUACCUUACCUAGGUGUAGAGGUGAAUGUCUGUCUGUAGUCUACCUUACCUAGGUGUAGUGGUGAAUGUCUGUCUGUAGUCUACCUUACCUAGGUGUAGUGGUGAAUGUCUGUAGUCUACCUUACCUAGGUGUAGUGGUGAAUGUCUGUAGUCUACCUUACCUAGGUGUAGUGGUGAAUGUCUGUAGUCUACCUUACCACUCAGAACAAGAGGAUUAUGGAGAUUCCUGGUCUGCAUAGCCAGCUACGGGCUAACCAGGCUAUAGAGGGAGACCCUGCCCCAAAAAACUAAGCAAAGAGAAGCAAAGGAGGACCUCUAAGCAGACUGCAGUGGGAAAACGCAGAAGACUGCAUGUGCUGCUCCCUCAGGCCAGUCUGACUUAAAUGUGGUUUGUAGCUCACUUGAAACCAUUGCUAACCCGUUAUAAAGUAGUGCAGAGCAGAGCCGGCUGCAGGGGGAGUGUAUGCUUAGUGUAGAUGCUGCUCUGGGUUUGAUGUCCAGCACCACCCCCCGCCCACCCCCAGAAAAAGUAGUACUGAUUGACUAAUGUAGUUAAAGGUAGUACUGACUGACUAAUGUAGUUAAAGGUAGUACUGAUUGACUAAUGUAGUUAAUGCAGUUAACCAAACCCUUAAGCUAAAGGAUUCCAUCAUUGCGGAGUUUGACACCUGUAGAACCAAUGCACAGUUAGCAGCCUGUCUCUGAGGCUGCAAAUCAGAAUUUUGCUUUUAAUUUUCAUGUAGACCCUGGUCUGCCUAGCACUCUGGGAACCCAGAAAAUGGCCCUCUUCACUGUCCUCUAACUGCACAUCUUGCAGACAUGCUCCAAGUGUCUCAGUUCUCACAGGGCCCAUCUGUCCCCCUGGACACAGAGGUAAGUCCAGGGGACAGAAUGUAACCCCAGCUCAGCCAGUAAACAAAGCUAUAUUACUAUCCACAGUGUGUGUGUGCGCGCGUGCGCAUGAUGCACAUUGUAUUUCUUCUGUUUGUAAAUGAAAAUUUGGACAAGCUGGCAGGGCUUCUGAUGCUCUCCAAACGCCUUGAGGAUUACAUUGUAUAGGUUCUGUCCAAGCCAGCAACUGAGGCACAAGCCCUCCUAAGAGCUAAUGGGUGACAGACAGAAUGGUCUUAAAGACUUUGCUUCUUGGUGACUUUCAUGUCCCCAGUGUAUUCUUUUUUUUUUUUUUUUUAAGAUUUAUUUAUUAUUAUGGGAAUUAUAUGUAGGGAAGGACUGCUCAAUUUCACUAGAAGAUACUUUCUGUACCCCCAAAGUCUCUUGACAACAAACAGGUCCACAUGUGGUCAUAAGUGGGGGAAGGGUCUCUGUGCUCUGUUCUCUGAUUUGUUUCUGGUUUGCUCCUUAAUGAACAGCACACUGGGGAGAUGUAAUUGCAGCCAGGGACCCUGGCAAGAAGAAAAAGGAAGAAGUACUUGUUGAUUGGAAGGUUGUGGAACCGGGCGUGGUGGAGCACGAUUUAAUCAUAGCACUUGGGAGGCAGAGGCAGGCCUGAGUUCGAGGCCAGCCUGGUCUACAGAGUGAGUUCCAGGACAGCCAGAGCUACACAGAGAAACCCUGUCUCAGAAAAACAAAAGGUUGUAGGACCUGUGCCAUGCAGUGGCUCCAGGCUGUAAUUAAAUCUUGCAUUGUAAGGAAACUACAGACUGCUAGGAAGAGGCUUUUAGCCAUUUAGGUGUUUUGUUGUUGUUUUGUUUUAAAGCUAACAUCGAUCAGUGCUCUGUGGCUGGAAUUUCAAAUCCACUUAAUGCAAUUAGAAUCCACAAACUCUCAGGUUACACAGAAUCAGGGAGAAUGAAGCAGGAGGUUUGGCAGUGUCUUUUUUUCCUGCUAAUUAAUAGUGGUCCUGGGCAGGCUGAAGUAACUUCCUCCUUUAUUGACAGGCUAUCCUGUUCGAUAACACUAGAGGUUUAUAGUGCUGGGUCUGGUGCUGCAGGCUGAUAAUUGCCCUACUCCCGAGGUUAUAUCAGAGGACCUCAAGUUCAAGGCCUUGCUUGGACAAUUUAGUGAGACCCAGUCUAAAAAAAAUUAUGUGGCACAAGCCUUUAAUCUCAUCACUCGGGAGGCAGCAGUAGAUGAAUCUCUGUAAGUUCAAGGCCAACCUGCUCUACAGAGUGAGUUUCAGGUCAGCCAGAACCAAAUAGAGUAAGCCACUGUUUCCAAAACCUUUUAAAAAUAGAAAAGAUUUAUUAAAAAUGAUUUUAAUAAAAUGGUGAACUAGACUUCUCUGGCACUGUUGAUCCCCUGCCUUGUCUUCAUUAAAUAAAACCCCCAAACUCCUUACAUGCAACUGUGACUAUAGUUAUCACAUUAUGGUCCUACAUACAUACAACCAGGUG
rnacentral:lncRNA from 1 species